rnacentral:rRNA from 1 species
UAGCCUACGGGGCGCAGCAGUGAGGAAUAUUGGUCAAUGGGCGAGAGCCUGAACCAGCCAAGUCGCGUGAAGGAUGACGGCCCUACGGGUUGUAAACUUCUUUUGUCAGGGAGCAAUUGGGUCCACGCGUGGGCUUAGCGAGAGUACCUGAAGAAAAAGCAUCGGCUAACUCCGUGCCAGCAGCCGCGGUAAUACGGAGGAUGCGAGCGUUAUCCGGAUUUAUUGGGUUUAAAGGGUGCGCAGGCGGGAGAUCAAGUCCGCGGUAAAAUGUCGGGGCUCAACCCCGGCCGGCCGUUGAAACUGGG